ACGCUCGACACCUACGGGAGGCAGCAGUGGGGGAUAUUGCACAAUGGGGGAAACCCUGAUGCAGCAACGCCGCGUGAGGGAAGACGGUUUUCGGAUUGUAAACCUCUGUCAUCGGUGACGAUAAUGACGGUAGCCGAUGAGGAAGCUCCGGCUAACUACGUGUCAGCAGCCGCGGUAAUCUGAGCGGCUGGCAAGGC
rnacentral:rRNA from 1 species